ACAUGCAAGUCGAACGAAGUAGCAAUACUUAGUGGCAGACGGGUGAGUAACAUGUAGGAAUCUUCCCUUUGGCCUGGAAUAACACGAGGAAACUUGUGCUAAUACCGGAUAAGUCUUUACGGAGAAAGCUUUAUGCACCAUUGGAUGAGCCUGCACUUGAUUAGUUUGUUGGUAGGGUAAUGGCCUACCAAGACUGUGAUCAAUAGCUGAUUUGAGAGGAUGAUCAGCCACAUUGGGACUGAGACACGGCCCAAACUCCUACGGGAGGCAGCAGUGGGGAAUCUUGCACAAUGGAGGAAACUCUGAUGCAGCGAUGCCGCGUGAGUGAAGAAGGCCCUUGGGUUGUAAAGCUCUUUCGUCGGGGAAGAAAAUGACUGUACCCGAAUAAGAAGGUCCGGCUAACUUCGUGCCAGCAGCCGCGGUAAUACGAAGGGACCUAGCGUAGUUCGGAAUUACUGGGCUUAAAGAGUUCGUAGGUGGUUGAAAAAGUUGGUGGUGAAAUCCCAGAGCUUAACUCUGGAACUGCCAUCAAAACUUUUCAGCUAGAGUUUGAUAGAGGAAAGCAGAAUUUCUAGUGUAGAGGUGAAAUUCGUAGAUAUUAGAAAGAAUACCAAUUGCGAAGGCAGCUUUCUGGAUCAUUACUGACACUGAGGAACGAAAGCAUGGGUAGCGAAGAGGAUUAGAUACCCUCGUAGUCCAUGCCGUAAACGAUGUGUGUUAGACGUUGGAAAUUUAUUUUCAGUGUCGCAGCGAAAGCGAUAAACACACCGCCUGGGGA
rnacentral:rRNA from 1 species